GGGUGAGUAACACGUGGGUAACCUGCCCUAAAGUCUGGGAUACCACUUGGAAACAGGUGCUAAUACCGGAUAACAACAAUAGCUGCAUGGCUAUUGCUUAAAAGGCGGCGAAAGCUGUCGCUAAAGGAUGGACCCGCGGUGCAUUAGCUAGUUGGUAAGGUAAUGGCUUACCAAGGCGACGAUGCAUAGCCGAGUUGAGAGACUGAUCGGCCACAUUGGGACUGAGACACGGCCCAAACUCCUACGGGAGGCAGCAGUAGGGAAUCUUCCACAAUGGGCGAAAGUCUGAUGGAGCAACGCCGCGUGAGUGAAGAAGGUUUUCGGAUCGUAAAGCUCUGUUGUUGGUGAAGAAGGAUAGAGGUAGUAACUGGCCCCUAUUUGACGGUAAUCAACCAGAAAGUCACGGCUAACUACGUGCCAGCAGCCGCGGUAAUACGUAGGUGGCAAGCGUUGUCCGGAUUUAUUGGGCGUAAAGCGAGCGCAGGCGGAAAGAUAAGUCUGAUGUGAAAGCCCCCGGCUUAACCGAGGAAUUGCAUCGGAAACUGUGUUUCUUGAGUGCAGAAGAGGAGAGUGGAACUCCAUGUGUAGCGGUGGAAUGCGUAGAUAUAUGGAAGAGCACCAGUGGCGAAGGCGGCUCUCUGGUCUGUAACUGACGCUGAGGCUCGAAAGCAUGGGUAGCGAACAGGAUUAGAUACCCUGGUAGUCCAUGCCGUAAACGAU
rnacentral:rRNA from 1 species